UUAAGGCUUCUUCUACUCCCCCCCAUUUUCCCUAGAUGCCCUAUUCCUCCAGCCCCCCCCCCCCCCCCCAGCACUCCAGGACAUUUAACUGUCACUCCAGGAGCCACUUGGAAGUUGUCCCGUCACUUGGGGCGUGUGAACUAGAAGAUGUCGCUCUGGAACUUUUUUUUUUUCCAAAAACAAAACCACAGGUCCUGGGUUCCUGGCUUCCUCCUCCUGCUCCUCCCCAGCUGACUCUCCCUGUGGUUUAGAGAGAAGAGACACAGAAAGAAGAGAGACACCUCAGCAUCGCUCUGCCAUCCAUGGACUUCCCCCAGUGCCACUCAGGCUGUUCCAUGUGGUGCCAGGGCUCGACCCUAGAGCCUCAUGCCUGGUAAGGCAUGUGCCCUACUGGGUGGGACAUGCCCUGCCCCAUAUUUGUGUUUUCAGGAGCAAAAGGAAUAUCUGUUUAGAGGACAGAGGGAGAGAGGUAGGGGGGAGCUGGAGCCCCACUGAGGUCUAUGUGGGGCCAGGGAUCAAGUUGUGAUCAGGGGUGCAAGCCCUGCACUCUCCCUGCUGGGCUGUCUCCCCCAGUUGUUGGCCCCUGAGGGCUGAGUACCACUCCCUUGGUGUUUGUGGGGACAGUGACUGCAGCUGUCCGGGCCCUGGGCCGGCAGCUUCCACCUACCAUCUUCCACCUACCAUCCAUCUCCCAUCCAUCUGUCCGUGGUCCCUCUCCCCUGGUCCCUCUCCCCAGCUUCCGCCCCUGCCUGGCCUGUCUUCUCCUCUGUGGUGACAACUUAUGUUUUCCGCUUAAAGUGCCCGCAGAGCAGAGCGGAGCACCACAGUUCCGAGCUUCUUGGAAGAAAGCGACUAUGUAAAUGAAAAUUAAAAAUAAAAUUCUUGCUGGA